GGCGUCGUUGCCGAUGAAGCGCGGCAGCCGCUCGCUCUGGUACAACGCGCCCAGCAGCGGUUCGACUCCGCUCGUCGCGAC
rnacentral:tRNA from 1 species